rnacentral:rRNA from 1 species
UACGAAGGGGGCUAGCGUUGUUCGGAAUCACUGGGCGUAAAGGGCGCGUAGGCGGCGCGACAAGUCAGGCGUGAAAGCCCCGGGCUCAACCCGGGAAUUGCGCUUGAUACUGUCGUGCUUGAGGCCGGGAGAGGAUGGCGGAAUUCCCAGUGUAGAGGUGAAAUUCGUAGAUAUUGGAAAGAACACCGGUGGCGAAGGCGGCAACCUGGUCCUUGACUGACGCUGAGGCGCGAAAGCGUGGGGAGCAAACAGG